CAAUAGCGUAUAUUAAAGUUGUUGCAGUUAAAAAGCUCGUAGUUGGAUUUCGGGGCAGCCUGGCUGGUCCGCCGCAAGGCGAGUACUGGUCAGCCGCCCUUCCUCUCGAAAGCCCCGACUGCUCUUUAUUGCAGUGGUCGGGUAGUUCGGGACGUUUACUUUGAAAAAAUUAGAGUGUUCAAGGAAGGCCUACGCCUGAAUACAUUAGCAUGGAAUAAUGGAAGAGGACCUCGGUCCUAUUUUGUUGGUUUCCAGGACCGAAGUAAUGAUUAAGAGGGACAGUUGGGGGCAUUCGUAUUUAAUUGUCAGAGGUGAAAUUCUCGGAUUUAUGAAAGACGAACAACUGCGAAAGCAUUUGCCAAGGAUGUUUUCAUUAA
rnacentral:rRNA from 1 species